AGCCUUGAGGUAGAUUACGCUAGAUUGCAAAUCUAGAGAAGCAGGUUAGUUGCCGGCCGGGGCUU
rnacentral:tRNA from 1 species